UUUCAAAACUGCAUCCCUUGAGUAUCGGAGAGGCAAGCGGAAUUCCUAGUGUAGCGGUGAAAUGCGUAGAUAUUAGGAGGAACACCAGUGGCGAAGGCGGCUUGCUGGACGACAACUGACGCUGAGGCGCGAAAGCGUGGGGAGCAAACAGGAUUAGAUACCCUGGUAGUCCACGCUGUAAACGAUGAAUACUAGGUGUGGGAGGACUGACCCCUUCCGUGCCGCAGUUAACACAAUAAGUAUUCCACCUGGGGAGUACGACCGCAAGGUUGAAACUCAAAGGAAUUGACGGGGGCCCGCACAAGCAGUGGAUUAUGUGGUUUAAUUCGACGCAACGCGAAGAACCUUACCAGGACUUGACAUCCAACUAACGAAGCAGAGAUGCAUUAGGUGCCCUUCGGGGAAAGUUGAGACAGGUGGUGCAUGGUUGUCGUCAGCUCGUGUCGUGAGAUGUUGGGUUAAGUCCCGCAACGAGCGCAACCCCUAUUGUUAGUUGCUACGAAAGAGCACUCUAGCGAGACUGCCGUUGACAAAACGGAGGAAGGCGGGGACGACGUCAAAUCAUCAUGCCCCUUAUGUCCUGGGCUACACACGUAAUACAAUGGUGGUUAACAGAGGGAAGCAAAGCCGCGAGGUGGAGCAAAUCCCUAAAAGCCAUCUCAGUUCGGAUUGCAGGCUGCAACUCGCCUGCAUGAAGCUGGAAUUGCUAGUAAUGGCGCAUCAGCUACGGCGCCGUGAAUACGUUCCCGGGUCUUGUACACAC
rnacentral:rRNA from 1 species